UACGUAGGGGGCAAGCGUUGUCCGGAUUUAUUGGGCGUAAAGAGCGUGUAGGCGGCCAGACAGGUCAGCUGUGAAAACUCGAGGCUCAACCUCGAGACGUCGGUUGAAACCGUCUGGCUAGAGUCCGGAAGAGGAGAGUGGAAUUCCUGGUGUAGCGGUGAAAUGCGCAGAUAUCAGGAAGAACACCAAUGGCGAAGGCAGCUCUCUGGGACGGUACUGACGCUGAGACGCGAAAGCGUGGGGAGCGAACAGG
rnacentral:rRNA from 1 species